UGGGGAAUAUUGCACAAUGGGCGCAAGCCUGAUGCAGCCAUGCCGCGUGUGUGAAGAAGGCCUUCGGGUUGUAAAGCACUUUCAGCGAGGAGGAAGGUGGUGAGCUUAAUACGCUCAUCAAUUGACGUUACUCGCAGAAGAAGCACCGGCUAACUCCGUGCCAGCAGCCGCGGUAAUACGGAGGGUGCAAGCGUUAAUCGGAAUUACUGGGCGUAAAGCGCACGCAGGCGGUUUGUUAAGUCAGAUGUGAAAUCCCCGGGCUCAACCUGGGAACUGCAUUUGAAACUGGCAAGCUAGAGUCUCGUAGAGGGGGGUAGAAUUCCAGGUGUAGCGGUGAAAUGCGUAGAGAUCUGGAGGAAUACCGGUGGCGAAGGCGGCCCCCUGGACGAAGACUGACGCUCAGGUGCGAAAGCGUGGGGCAGCAAACAGGAUUAGAUACCCUGGUAGUCCACGCUGUAAACGAUGUCGAUUUUGGAGGUUGUGCCCCUUGAGGCGUGGNUUCCGGAGCUAACGCGUUAAAUCGACCGCCUGGGGAGUACGGCCNCAAGGUUAAAACUUAAAUGAAUUGCGGGGUCUAGCUG
rnacentral:rRNA from 1 species